UGGGGGAGGGUGCCCUGGUUGA
rnacentral:miRNA from 1 species